AUUUUUCUCUUCCCCUUCACCGAAAUAUGCAGCCAAGAAAGGGUUUUGAAGCUGGAAAAUUUCAGCAACAUAUUUCCCUUGCUUGUAAGUGAUUUUAAUGUCUUUGCUUGAUGAUUUUUGUAUUUUUGGAACCCCUAAAGCAUAAGCUUUCAUAAGAGGGGAUUAUUUUGCAAAAUGAUGAAGAGUCUAGGGUUUUACCAUGAGAUUAAAUGUGUUGUUUGCUGUGUUUUUAUGGAAGAUUAUGAGUCCUAGUUGUCUAAUAAACAACUUUUGUGAAAGAAAUUGCAUGAAAAUACCUUAAAAAGGGCUAAAUUGCUAAGUUGUAAAAUGAGUUGUAAAUGUGUAAAAUAGUUGAAAUUAUGAGUUGCUAUAGUAAUGAAAAUGGUUCAUCUAGACUCAAGGAGUAAAGAAAUGUGAUAAAAAUUAAUUUACGAGCAUUGGGGCAAAAGUGUAAAUAUGCAAAAGUUUAGGGGUCAAAAUAAAAAUUUAGAAAAAUAUGAUUUUUAGACCCAUAUGAAUAUUGUGACUGAUUGGUAGGCUAAAUGUGAUGUUAUAGAUGAUGAAAAUUGAGAUUUGGACCUAGAACAGAAAGAAAUCGAUUUAUGGACGAGUAUGUCUUUUCACCUUUGUGGUAUCGAGGUAAGUUCAUGUGUAAAUAAUGUAGCAUAAUUGUUAUUUUUAAGUUAUUGAUGUUAAAUAUAUGAUAUGCUGAUUUCUAUCAUGAAAUAUAUGCUUUGUGGUUAUUUUCGAAUAAAAUGCAAGUUAUGUGUAUUAUCUGUUAAAUAUAAAGUGCUACCGAGUAUUGGUUUCGGUAUUUUACGGAAGAUGGCAAGGAGAUGUGUUCGAGGAAAAUCCCGUUUGAACCUUAGGAAUAGAUUAGGAUACAAGUGACAUGUCACUAGGAUGGUUGAGCAUCCGAACUCGUUGAGUUGAGUCCGAGUUCACUUAUGGAUGCGAAUGUUCGAACUCGUUGAGUUGAGUCCGAGUUCGUGAGAUGUAACUAGGCAUCCGAGCUCGUUGAGUUGAGUCCGAGUUCACUUAUGGAUGCGAACGUCCGAGCUCGUUGAGUUGAGUCCGAGUUCACUUAUGGGCGGGUUACAUGGUAGCUUGGCUACAUAUGUGGCACUUAUGCACAAACUUUCCAUGUAUCCGAAUUAUAUUCCAAUGUGUUCAACGGGUAAAAUUCUACUCAAAUGGAGGAAUACUCGAGAUGAAAGGGACGUAUUGGUAAAUGUUGUGAAAUGGAUACUUUGAACAGGUAUGUACUUAACCCUCGGGUUGAAAACUCGACAUAACAACAAUAUGGUAAGAUGAUAAAUGAAAAUGUGAUAUGAAUGUCUCGGUGAUGAUUAUACAAAUGAUGUUGUAUUAAUUUUGUGAACAAUGAUCAUGAAUGAGUAAUUUAGCCUUGACAUAUUUGAGUUACUGCAGUAGUGUAACUUUGAAAAUACACUAAAAAUAGUGGAAAAUGAGUUAGAGGCAGAAUAAAAUAUGGGAUUAAAGCUUAAUGAGUCUAUUUUCACAUGAAAGAAACAGGGGAAGAAAAGGAAUUCCAUAUUGUGUGAUAUUUGAAUUCUUGUGAAAUAGGGUCUGAAUGAAUUCGAGAUUCCCUAUUCUGACUUUAAAAAUUCACAAAAAAUUGUAAAAAAAUUAUUAAGAGUCAUACCUUACAUGCAUGGAUUCCUUAUUGAGUCUAUUUUUAUGGGAAAUAAACUCCAUGGUCGUUGGAAUUUUGUACAGUGAUAAAUUCGGUUUGUAGUGUAAAGGGUUCAGAGUGGUCAUACCCUGAAAUAGGGGAGACUUUAACUAAUAAAAUGUACUAAUUGGACCAACCAAAAAUUCUAGAAAAAAAUUAGUAAGUAGAAAUAUGAGUCUAGUUUCAAUAUAAAUAGACGAUAAUAUUAUUCGAGUCUUGUACUCUGAGAUAAUUGAACUUUAGUACAGAAGGGUCGGAACUAUCAGACAGUGAAUCAGGGGUAACUUUGAGGAAUAAACUGUACUAUUUGGCUUAACCAAAAAUUCUGAAAAUUUUAUGGAAGAAAUGAAAAUAAGUCUAGUUUUAGGAAAAAUUAACAGAACUUAAUUCGGAGUUUCGUAGCUCCAAAUAUAAAUAAUUUAGUGACCGUUGCUCAGAAAGACAGCUUGUAGUGAACUUGAGAAUAUGUUGUAAACAUUGAUAAAACAAGUUAAUGGGUGCUUAUUGUUUUCAUAUGAACUUACUAAGCGAAAGCUUACCCCCCUCUUCUUUCCCAUGUUUUCUAGAGUUUCCAGGUUAGCUCGGGUUGGAGGCCGUCAGAGAUAUUAUCACACUGUCAAGCUAACACUGUUGGUGUAGUGAUUUCAAGUACUUUGAGCCUAUGGCAUGUAUAGGAGUUUAAAUAUUAGAGUAUGUGAUAUGGCUUUAACCAUAUGUGUUGGAAUAUUUUGAUUAUGGGGUUGUAAAUCUAUUUUAAUUAUGCAUGCAUGUGCUAUGGUUUUAUGUGAUGAGUUUAUAAUGAUUAUAGUAUGAAUGUGGUAAAGAUGUGAGUAAAAUCUAUGAUAUCUAUUGCAUGUGAAAUUGCCA
rnacentral:lncRNA from 1 species